rnacentral:rRNA from 1 species
UACGUAGGGUGCGAGCGUUAUCCGGAUUUAUUGGGUUUAAAGGGUGCGCAGGCGGGAGAUUAAGUCGGCGGUGAAAUUUUGCAGCUCAACUGUAAAAGUGCCUUCGAAACUGGUUUUCUUGAGUGUGGAUGAAGUAGGCGGAAUUUGUGGUGUAGCGGUGAAAUGCACAGAUAUCACGAGGAACUCCGAUUGCGAAGGCAGCUUACUAAACCAUAACUGACGCUCAGGCACGAAGGCGUGGGGAGUCAAACAGGAUUAGAUACCCGCGUAGUCCCU